GACGAACGCUGGCGGCGUGCUUAACACAUGCAAGUCGUACGGUAAGGCCCUUUCGGGGGUACCCGAGUGGCGAACGGGUGCGUAACACGUGAGUAACCUGCCCACAACUUUGGGAUAACGCUAGGAAACUGGUGCUAAUACUGGAUAUGUGCUCCUGCUGCAUGGUGGGGGUUGGAAAGCUCCGGCGGUUGUGGAUGGACUCGCGGCCUAUCAGCUUGUUGGUGGGGUAGUGGCCUACCAAGGCGGCGACGGGUAGCCGGCCUGAGAGGGUGACCGGCCACAUUGGGACUGAGAUACGGCCCAGACUCCUACGGGAGGCAGCAGUGGGGAAUAUUGCACAAUGGGCGCAAGCCUGAUGCAGCAACGCCGCGUGCGGGAUGACGGCCUUCGGGUUGUAAACCGCUUUCAGCAGGGACGAAGCUUUUUGUGACGGUACCGGCAGAAGAAGCACCGGCUAACUACGU
rnacentral:rRNA from 1 species